UCAUGUGGUGCAUCUUGGUGCAGAUGCUGUGAGGCUACAGGGGAAUUUCUUCUUCUUCUUCUUCUUUUUUUUUCAUCUGAUUUGAGAAUUCUGCGUACGGUUCAGUGCGCGGCGAGGCCGGGUCGGUUUUUGAACCGUUAUAUUGACUACCAAGCCAGCGGACACAGAACCUGUGAAGCGUGUACCGGUUUACUCAGACGGACAGCGAGGUCAAAGGAAGCCCGGCUCCCUUACAGCGGCGACACGAAGGCUCCCCAACCCUCGGAGUAAACAGCUGGGGCGCCAUGCGCAGGCUGGACAGGUUUUCCAGCCAGUUUCUUCCUAGUGUGAUCCAGGUUGUUUAUGUGCACGUAGUGAAACGCGCAGUAAAACCACCAGUCACCCCCGUGGUUCUGUUCUGAUGACGGCAGCUCCCUCCAUAAUGGGCUGCUUCGCAAGGUGGGCCACUAAAUUAAUGGCUGUAAAACGACUCAUCUCCAGUAAUGCAAGCCGGCAACUUAUUACAGCGAGGAGGGAAACGGGGAUGAAAUGGGGCGGCAGUGCAUUCACCACAGUCAUUUCGCCAUUUUGCUCUUCUUCUGCUCCCUGCAGGACAUUUUUCCUCUCCUGGAGUGGGAGAAAAAAAAGAAGAAGAAAAAAAUAAAAGGGGGAAGAAAAACAAA